rnacentral:rRNA from 1 species
UACGUAGGGUCCAAGCGUUGUCCGGAUUUAUUGGGCGUAAAGGGCGCGUAGGCGGCCAUGCGUGUCUUCCGUGAAAUCCCUCGGCUUAACUGAGGACGUGCGGAAGAAACUGCAAGGCUCGAGUCCGGGAGAGGGGGGUGGAAUUCCCAGUGUAGCGGUGAAAUGCGUAGAUAUUGGGAGGAACACCGGUGGCGAAGGCGGCCCCCUGGACCGGUACUGACGCUGAGGCGCGAAAGCGUGGGUAGCAAACGGG